rnacentral:tRNA from 1 species
GAAUAAGACUGGGAGGAUGCUAAGAACUGCUAAUUCUUAAACCCAUAGUUCAACUCUAUGGCUUAAUCA